AUAAAAUUUAAAAUUACUUGUCGAUCAUUUUAAUUCGUAUUUUGUUUUUUUCCAGUUCAAGCAGUUUCAAGUACAGUUGCCACUUCAUACCAAACAACUCCCGCAGCUUCAGAAAGCACAGAAGUUUACCUGACAGCGACAAUACAGGGGAACUGUAGCAGACGUUCAGAAGUUGCCGCGAAAUUUCCAGAAAUGGCUUGUCGAAUUGCCUUUAAGUUUGGCUGCUCAUCCGCCAACACCGUGAACACCAGGUGUGGCAGUGUUGUUCUCGACUUCAUGAUGAGGUUCAAUCGAAGUGUGGUCGUCAGCAAUGUUUUGACUGUCCUGUUGGAUGCUGCAAGGCAAGACAAAUUCGGAGGUUUCAAAGUCGAUCCAGAAUCAAUUAAACAAGUUUUUAUACCCACAGACGACUCGGAAAGCACAAUA